AUUGAACGCUGGCGGCAGGCCCUACACAUGCAAGUCGAACGAGUGCCGGACGGGUGAGUAAUGUCUGGGAAACUGCCUGAUGGUGGGGGAUAACUACUGGAAACGGUAGCUAAUACCGCAUACCAUCAGAUGUGCCCAGAUGGGAUUAGCUUGUUGGUGGGGUAACGGCUCACCAAGGCGAUGAUCCCUAGCUGGUCUGAGAGGAUGACCAGCCACACUGUAACGGAGAAACGGGCCAGCUUGCGACGGGAGGCAGCGGUGGGGAAUAUUGCACAAUGGGCGCAAGCCUGAGGCAGCCAUGCCGCGUGUAUGAAGAGGGCCUUCGGGUUGUAAAGUACUUUCAGCGGGGAGGCGUUAACCGCAGAAGAAGCACCGGCUAGCUCCGUGCCAGCCGCCGCGGUAAUUC
rnacentral:rRNA from 1 species